rnacentral:lncRNA from 1 species
AGACCACAGAGACUGAAAAUAAGAAAGGGGUGAGGCCUAAGGGACAAUCAGGAUGUUUUUCAGAGAGAAGUGUGGAUGCUGGACAGGAAGAACCACAGAUACCAGAUACGGGUACUGUUGUAACUCUGUUCUCCAUGAAAAAAAAGGAAGAAUCAACACUUUCAGAGAUGGAGCCUGUUGAGCCACAGUACCAACUAGUCAAUGCUGAAUCGACUUCUCCCUUUCUACAUUGCCUGAGAGAAGUCAUUGGGGAAUACUCUGUACACGAAUUUUCACUGUUGGGGAAAACAGAGAGUCAAGGGAUUGGAUUGUGGAUUGCAUUGGUGGUUUUCCUCAGUUUCCUCAUCUUCUCCACAAGUUUCUACAUAUCGAAUGCAGAGCAGCCCUUCUUCAAAGGACCUCCUACGGAAGCUGCUAAGGAACUCAGUCUGUAGCUCUGCGUGGAGCCAUGUGUAAACACUGAACUGAGACCUGCCACCUCCUACUACCUAAGGGCCCAUUUUCAUCUGAUAUCAUCCCCCAGAAACAAACUCAUGAUGACUUCCAUGUUUUUUUUAGAUUAGAUACAUGGAGAAUUUUCCUUUCCCUUAGAAUUAAAAUCCUGCAUUCUAAUUUUCAGUAAGCUUUUUUAUUUCUGAAUAAUUUUAAAUUUAAAGAGAAGUUGCAAAGAUAGUAUAGAAUGUUCCCUUAUACCUGUUUUUAUUUAGAGUGAUGUUCCCAGGAGAAAUGAUAAUGCAGCAAUGGACAAGAACAGGAACAAGAGACAGUCUUACCAUCUUCUUACAAUUUAUAGAUGGGACAGUGGAAAGAGAAGCCACAUCGGGGUUGGGCAUGCAGAGACCUGGUCCUAAAUCUGUGUGACUUUUGCGAAAUCCUUUUGCCUCACAGAGCUCUAGGUUCUUAUCUGUCAAACAGGAACCAGACCAUCAGAUCCGUAGAGAUCCAACCAAUGAAGGAGACUUCGAAAACUUCACAUUGCCGUGUCAAUGUGAGGUUGCUGGAUGGUUAUGACAAGAAAUCACAUUAAAUUCACUGGGGUAACAUUGUUCAUGAAACGGGAUAAUGUGUUUCAGCGAUGAACCACCCAUGGCCUUACUACAGACAUAUUUCCACUUUGAAAAUGUGUGUGAGUGUACAUGUCUGUGUGUGAGGCAGAGAUUAGAAAGUGUAAAUGUGUGCGUUUUCAUUUUACACAUCUUACAUUUUCCUUUAAUUUGUUUGAAAGCCUGUUUUGUUUGUGGCUUCCAUUCCUGGAAGUCCCAUGAGUUGUUAGUGGUGAAGAUGGAACAGAUGUGUCCAACCCGGGGGACUCCUGCCCUCAGGGACUGAGCAGCUGCAAACCUCUCUCUCAUCUGAUUCCACUGUUUCUUCCACAUGUACACAUCAUGAGAAAUAUUGUUCAAUCAAUAUCUUCCCUUAAAUCAACUCAUAUGCUUAUUUACAUGAAUUUACCUAAAACAGAAACUUGAUAUCACUUCUGUAAAUGAAAAAAUUAAACUUUCUGGCUUUAAAUAAAGCAUAACAAUAAUAAUCAUGUCAAAA